AGCGAACGCUGGCGGCAGGCUUAACACAUGCAAGUCGAGCGGGCAUCCUUGUGGUGUCAGCGGCAGACGGGUGAGUAACGCGUGGGAACGUGCCCUUCGGUUCGGAAUAACUCAGGGAAACUUGAGCUAAUACCGGAUACGUGCGAGAGCAGAAAGGUUUAUCUGCCGAAGGAUCGGCCCGCGUCUGAUUAGCUAGUUGGUGAGGUUAUGGCUCACCAAGGCGACGAUCAGUAGCUGGUUUGAGAGGAUGAUCAGCCACACUGGGACUGAGACACGGCCCAGACUCCUACGGGAGGCAGCAGUGGGGAAUAUUGGACAAUGGGGGCAACCCUGAUCCAGCCAUGCCGCGUGAGUGAUGACGGCCUUAGGGUUGUAAAGCUCUUUUCUUCGGGACGAUAAUGACGGUACCGGAGGAAUAAGCCCCGGCUAACUUCGUG
rnacentral:rRNA from 1 species